rnacentral:rRNA from 1 species
AUACGGAGGGUGCAAGCGUUACUCGGAAUCACUGGGCGCAAAGGACGCGUAGGCGGGUUGGUAAGUCAGGUGUGAAAUCCUACAGCUUAACUGUAGAACUGCACUUGAAACUACCAACCUAGAGUAUGGGAGGGGGAGAUGGAAUUAGUGGUGUAGGGGUAAAAUCCGUAGAUAUCACUAGGAAUACCGAAAGCGAAGGCGAUCUCCUGGAACAUAACUGACGCUAAGGCGUGAAAGCGUGCGGAGCAAACAGGAUUAGAUACCCGGGUAGUCC